AUUGAACGCUGGCGGCAGGCCUAACACAUGCAAGUCGAACGAGUGGCGGACGGGUGAGUAAUGUCUGUGAAACUGCCUGUUGGAGGGGGUUAACUACUGGAAACGGUAGCUAAUACCGCAUACCAUCGGAUGUGCCCAUAUGGGAUUAUCUAGUAGGGGGGGUAAAGGCUCCCCUAGGCGACGAUCCCUAGCGGGUCUGAGAGGAUGACCAGCCACACUGGAACGGGGACACGGUCCAGACUCCUACGGGAGGCAGCAGUGGGGAAUAUUGCAAAAUGGGCGAAAGCCGGAUGCAGCCAUGCCGCGUGUAUGAAGAAGGCCUUCGGGUUGUAAAGUACUUUCAGCGGGGAGGCGUUACCAGCAGAAGAAGCACCGGCUAACUCCGUGCCAGCCGCCGCGGUAAUAC
rnacentral:rRNA from 1 species